rnacentral:rRNA from 1 species
AGGAGAAAGCUUGCUUUCUUGCUGACGAGUGGCGGACGGGUGAGUAAUGCUUGGGAAUCUGGCUUAUGGAGGGGGAUAACGACGGGAAACUGUCGCUAAUACCGCAUAUUAUCGGAAGAUGAAAGUGCGGGACUGAGAGGCCGCAUGCCAUAGGAUGAGCCCAAGUGGGAUUAGGUAGUUGGUGGGGUAAAUGCCUACCAAGCCUGCGAUCUCUAGCUGGUCUGAGAGGAUGACCAGCCACACUGGAACUGAGACACGGUCCAGACUCCUACGGGAGGCAGCAGUGGGGAAUAUUGCGCAAUGGGGGGAACCCUGACGCAGCCAUGCCGCGUGAAUGAAGAAGGCCUUCGGGUUGUAAAGUUCUUUCGGUAUUGAGGAAGGUUGAUGUGUUAAUAGCACAUCAAAUUGACGUUAAAUACAGAAGAAGCACCGGCUAACUCCGUGCCAGCAGCCGCGGUAAUACGGAGGGUGCGAGCGUUAAUCGGAAUAACUGGGCGUAAAGGGCACGCAGGCGGUUAUUUAAGUGAGGUGUGAAAGCCCUGGGCUUAACCUAGGAAUUGCAUUUCAGACUGGGUAACUAGAGUACUUUAGGGAGGGGUAGAAUUCCACGUGUAGCGGUGAAAUGCGUAGAGAUGUGGAGGAAUACCGAAGGCGAAGGCAGCCCCUUGGGAAUGUACUGACGCUCAUGUGCGAAAGCGUGGGGAGCAAACAGGAUUAGAUACCCUGGUAGUCCACGCUGUAAACGCUGUCGAUUUGGGGGUUGGGGUUUAACU